rnacentral:rRNA from 1 species
CCUCAUAAGAGGGCCGCAGUGAAUUGGCCCAAGCGACUGUUUACCAAAAACACAAGUAUCUGCUAAAUCGUAAGACGAAGUAUAGGUGCUGACACCUGCCCGGUGCUGGAAGGUCAAGGGGAAGGCUCAGCGCAAGCGAAGGCUAGAACUUAAGCCCCAGUAAACGGCGGCCGUAACUAUAACGGUCCUAAGGUAGCGAAAUUCCUUGUCGGGUAAGUUCCGACCCGCACGAAAGGUGUAACGAUUUGGGCACUG